rnacentral:rRNA from 1 species
GGAGCUUGCUCCACCGGAAAAAGAGGAGUGGCGAACGGGUGAGUAACACGUGGGUAACCUGCCCAUCAGAAGGGGAUAACACUUGGAAACAGGUGCUAAUACCGUAUAACAAUUGAAACCGCAUGGUUUUGAUUUGAAAGGCGCUUUCGGGUGUCGCUGAUGGAUGGACCCGCGGUGCAUUAGCUAGUUGGUGAGGUAACGGCUCACCAAGGCGACGAUGCAUAGCCGACCUGAGAGGGUGAUCGGCCACAUUGGGACUGAGACACGGCCCAAACUCCUACGGGAGGCAGCAGUAGGGAAUCUUCGGCAAUGGACGAAAGUCUGACCGAGCAACGCCGCGUGAGUGAAGAAGGUUUUCGGAUCGUAAAACUCUGUUGUUAGAGAAGAACAAGGAUGAGAGUAACUGUUCAUCCCUUGACGGUAUCUAACCAGAAAGCCACGGCUAACUACGUGCCAGCAGCCGCGGUAAUACGUAGGUGGCAAGCGUUGUCCGGAUUUAUUGGGCGUAAAGCGAGCGCAGGCGGUUUCUUAAGUCUGAUGUGAAAGCCCCCGGCUCAACCGGGGAGGGUCAUUGGAAACUGGGAGACUUGAGUGCAGAAGAGGAGAGUGG